AUGUCGCAAGCCUGAUGCAGCCUGCCGCGUGUGUGAAGAAGGCCUUCGGGUUGUAAAGCACUUUCAGUCAGGAGGAAAGGUUAGUAGUUAAUACCUGCUAGCUGUGACGUUACUGACAGAAGAAGCACCGGCUAACUCCGUGCCAGCAGNCCGCGGUAAUACGGAGGGUGCCGAGCGUUAAUCGGAAUUACUGGGCGUAAAGCGUACGCAGGCGGUUUGUUAAGCGAGAUGUGAAAGCCCCGGGCUCAACCUGGGAACUGCAUUUCGAACUGGCAAACUAGAGUGUGAUAGAGGGUGGUAGAAUUUCAGGUGUAGCGGUGAAAUGCGUAGAGAUCUGAAGGAAUACCGAUGGCGAAGGCAGCCACCUGGGUCAACACUGACGCUCAUGUACGAAAGCGUGGGGAGCAAACAGGAUUAGAUACCCUGGUAGUCCACGCCGUAAACGAUGUCUACUAGAAGCUCGGCUCUUCGGAGUUGUUUUUCAAACGCUAACGCAUUAAGUAGACCGCCUGGGGAGUACGGCCGCAAGGUUAAAACUCAAAUGAAUUGACGGGGGCCCGCACAAGCGGUGGAGCAUGUGGUUUAAUUCGAUGCAACGCGAAGAACCUUACCUACACUUGACAUACAGAGAACUUACCAGAGAGGUUUGGUGC
rnacentral:rRNA from 1 species